UGAGUUCGCGGGAGAGUAGGUUAUUGCCAGGGUUUUUAUUUUAUACUUUAAACAUUGAUUUUAUUUUUUAUGUUUUUAGAUGUUUAUGUUUUUGAAUGUUUUAUUCAAAUAAUAUAAAAAAUAAAAUAUAUAUUGACAUGGAUUAAACAAAGAUAUAUAUUAUUCUAUGUUGUAUAAACAAAUUGGCAAAAUAGAGAUGGAAGAUAAAAAUAUGGUCAAAGUAAUAAGAGUCUAUGGUGAAUGCCUAGGAGCUUUAAGGCGAAGAAGGUCGUGGUAAGUGAGUUCGCGGGAGAGUAGGUUAUUACCGAUCACUUUCCCAAGAAUCGCCAAUCGAAAAAC
rnacentral:misc_RNA from 1 species